CCUCCUGCAGCGCUUUGUCAGGCCUCAUCACCUCGACAUACCCAAGCUCCUCAACAACGAGGCUUCCUGGCUGGUAAGCCCAUGUGCUCUGCUCUUGCUCUUCAUUCCAGUUUACUGAUUAUAUCCAGAAUAUGCCUGUUGAAUCAUGCUCCAUUCCGUUGGUUCAUCAGUAUCUUUAUUAGUUUUCUGAUGGCAAUCAUUCCAGUGACAGAACCAAGGCCCAAGCUCUGACCUCUCUGUUG
rnacentral:lncRNA from 1 species